GACGAACGCUGGCGGCGUGCUUAACACAUGCAAGUCGAGCGGAAAGGCCCUUCGGGGUACUCGAGCGGCGAACGGGUGAGUAACACGUGAGUAACCUGCCCUAGGCUUUGGGAUAACCCCGGGAAACCGGGGCUAAUACCGGAUAUGACCUGGUGCCGCAUGGCGUUGGGUGGCAAGUUUUUUCGGCCUGGGAUGGGCUCGCGGCCUAUCAGCUUGUUCGUGGGGUGCUGGCCUACCAAGGCGAUGCCGGGUAGCCGGCCUGAGAGGGGGACCGGCCACACUGGGACUGAGACACGGCCCAGACUCCUACGGGAGGCAGCAGUGGGGAAUAUUGCACAAUGGGCGGAAGCCUGAUGCAGCGACGCCGUGUGAGGGAUGAAGGCCUUCGGGUUGUAAACCUCUUUCAGCAGGGACGAAGCGUGAGUGACGGUACCUGCAGAAGAAGCGCCGGCCAACUACGUG
rnacentral:rRNA from 1 species